GAUGAACGCUGGCGGCGUGCCUAAUACAUGCAAGUCGAGCGAACAGAUGAGGAGCUUGCUCCUCUGACGUUAGCGGCGGACGGGUGAGUAACACGUGGAUAACCUACCUAUAAGACUGGGAUAACUUCGGGAAACCGGAGCUAAUACCGGAUAAUAUAUUGAACCGCAUGGUUCAAUAGUGAAAGACGGUUUUGCUGUCACUUAUAGAUGGAUCCGCGCCGCAUUAGCUAGUUGGUAAGGUAACGGCUUACCAAGGCAACGAUGCGUAGCCGACCUGAGAGGGUGAUCGGCCACACUGGAACUGAGACACGGUCCAGACUCCUACGGGAGGCAUCAGUAGGGAAUCUUCCGCAAUGGGCGAAAGCCUGACGGAGCAACGCCGCGUGAGUGAUGAAGGUCUUCGGAUCGUAAAACUCUGUUAUUAGGGAAGAACAAAUGUGUAAGUAACUAUGCACGUCUUGACGGUACCUAAUCAGAAAGCCACGGCUAACUACGUG
rnacentral:rRNA from 1 species